ensembl:lncRNA
CUAUAAAAUGCAGCCAGUAAACGUAACACUUGAUAUUAACAUCUAUCUCACAAAGAAAGUCAUCUUCCUGAGGGUUUGUGUUGAAUGAAAAAUUACUGCACUGUGGUCAUUAGAUUAUCUCAGAGUGUGAUGAGCUGAAGGUUGAAGGGUUUUUUUGGGUUUUGUCCACUAGAUGUCACUAGAACAACAUUAGUAAUUGAGACGAUUGAAGCAAGGCGUCUGGACUUGUAGAGUUUUCGUUUCGUUUCGCUGCUCAUCCAAGCAGCUUCAUCAGUUCUAACUGGUGGGGAAACAUGGUUUGUAUGUGGUGGAGGACCUCAGUGGGUGGGUCUGGGUGAAACUCACAAACAAUAGCACUAAAUGUCUCCAUACUUACCUGCGUUGGUCUGUGACUGUGUCUGGUGUGUCUAACGACUGGCUAAUGACUGUGAGACUGCUGGAGGGGGACAGGUGGACGGUCCAUUGUUCUUGCUAGUGAAGUGGCAAAAAUGUUUCUACAUUUCCAGAAAUUCCAAGAAGGCAACAAACUCUCGACUGCAUGCGCUGACACAGCUGAGCCAGCACCCUCUAAGAUGUUCAAAGGCAUCGCUGCUGCAGCAAUCAGAGGUCACAACCCAAACACGACCCCUGCACAGCGGGCGUCCAACUGAAGCCCAGGAGAGCAGGCUCCAGCUGCACAUAAAGGUUUGGAAGAUG